rnacentral:rRNA from 1 species
ACGCACGCUGGCGGCGUGCUUCACCCAUGCCAGUCGCACGGAAAGGCCCUGCUUUUGUGGGGUGCUCGAGUGGCGAACGGGUGAGUAACACGUGAGUAACCUGCCCUUGACUUUGGGAUAACUUCAGGAAACUGGGGCUAAUACCGGAUAGGAGCUCCUGCUGCAUGGUGGGGGUUGGAAAGUUUCGGCGGUUGGGGAUGGACUCGCGGCUUAUCAGCUUGUUGGUGGGGUAGUGGCUUACCAAGGCUUUGACGGGUAGCCGGCCUGAGAGGAUGACCGGCCACAUUGGGACUGAGAUACGGCCCAGACUCCUACGGGAGGCAGCAGUGGGGAAUAUUGCACAAUGGGCGGAAGCCUGAUGCAGCAACGCCGCGUGCGGGAUGACGGCCUUCGGGUUGUAAACCGCUUUCGCCUGUGACGAAGCGUGAGUGACGGUAAUGGGUAAAGAAGCACCGGCUAACUACGUG